AAAAACAUAACCUCUAAAACAUAACUCCUAAAAAUGACUGUACGGACUUUCGAAGAUAUUUCGGAUCCAGUGGAGGAAAUGUUAAAAAAAACCGGAUGCAUAGAAAAGCAUUACAAAGUUAUAGAGUGUUACUCCGAAACUAAAGACUGGCGAAAGUGUCAAGAGGUAGUGAGGGAGUUUCGAGAGUGUAUGAGUAUCCAUAACU